UGCAGUCGAACGAGAGAGAGGGAGUUUGCUUCCUCAAUCGAGUGGCGAACGGGUGAGUAACGCGUGAGGAACCUGCCUCAAAGAGGGGGACAACAGUUGGAAACGACUGCUAAUACCGCAUAAGCCCACAGGUCGGCAUCGACCAGAGGGAAAAGGAGCAAUCCGCUUUGAGAUGGCCUCGCGUCCGAUUAGCUAGUUGGUGAGGUAAUGGCCCACCAAGGCAACGAUCGGUAGCCGGACUGAGUGGUUGAACGGCCACAUUGGGACUGAGACACGGCCCAGACUCCUACGGGAGGCAGCAGUGGGGAAUAUUGCACAAUGGGGGAAACCCUGAUGCAGCGACGCCGCGUGGAGGAAGAAGGUCUUCGGAUUGUAAACUCCUGUUGUUGAGGAAGAUAAUGACGGUACUCAACAAGGAAGUGACGGCUAACUACGCGCCAGCAGCCGCGGUAAAACGUAGGUCACAAGCGUUGUCCGGAAUUACUGGGUGUAAAGGGAGCGCAGGCGGGAAGACAAGUUGGAAGUGAAAUCCAUGGGCUCAACCCAUGAACUGCUUUCAAAACUGUUUUUCUUGAGUAGUGCAGAGGUAGGCGGAAUUCCCGGUGUAGCGGUGGAAUGCGUAGAUAUCGGGAGGAACACCAGUGGCGAAGGCGGCCUACUGGGCACCAACUGACGCUGAGGCUCGAAAGUGUGGGUAGCAAACAGGAUUAGAUACCCUGGUAGUCCACACCGUAAACGAUGAUUACUAGGUGUUGGAGGAUUGACCCCUUCAGUGCCGCAGUUAACACAAUAAGUAAUCCACCUGGGGAGUACGACCGCAAGGUUGAAACUCAAAGGAAUUGACGGGGGCCCGCACAAGCAGUGGAGUAUGUGGUUUAAUUCGACGCAACGCGAAGAACCUUACCAAGUCUUGACAUCCUGCGACGGUGCUGGAAACAGUAUUUUCC
rnacentral:rRNA from 1 species